rnacentral:rRNA from 1 species
GACGGGGGGGCAAGUGUUCUUCGGAAUGACUGGGCGUAAAGGGCACGUAGGCGGUGAAUCGGGUUGAAAGUGAAAGUCGCCAAAAACUGGUGGAAUGCUCUCGAAACCAAUUCACUUGAGUGAGACAGAGGAGAGUGGAAUUUCGUGUGUAGGGUGAAAUCCGCAAAUCUACGAAGGAACGCCAAAAGCGAAGGCAGCUCUCUGGGUCCCUACCGACGCUGGAGUGCGAAAGCAUGGGGAGCGAACGGGAUUAGAUACCCCGGUAGU